rnacentral:rRNA from 1 species
CCUACGGGUGGCAGCAGUGAGGAAUAUUGGUCAAUGGUCGCGAGCCUGAACCAGCCAAGCCGCGUGAAGGAUGACUGCCCUACGGGUUGUAAACUUCUUUUAUAAAGGAAUAAAGUCAGGCACGUGUGCCUUUCUGAAUGUACUUUAUGAAUAAGGAUCGGCUAACUCCGUGCCAGCAGCCGCGGUAAUACGGAGGAUUCGAGCGUUAUCCGGAUUUAUUGGGUUUAAAGGGUGCGUAGAUGGGUUGUUAAGUCAGUUGUGAAAGUUCGCGGCUCAACCGUAGAAUUGCCAUUGAUACUGGCAGUCUUGAGUACAGUUGAGGUAGGCGGAAUGCGUGGUGUAGCGGUGAAAUGCUUAGAUAUCACGAAGAACUCCGAUUGCGAAGGCAGCUUACCAAGCUGCCACUGACGUUGAGGCACGAAAGCGUGGGUAUCAAACAGGAUUAGAUACCCGUGUAGUC